rnacentral:rRNA from 1 species
GACGAACGCUGGCGGCGUGCUUAACACAUGCAAGUCGAACGGAAAGGCCCCCAUCUUGGUGGGGGUGCUCGAGUGGCGAACGGGUGAGUAACACGUGGGUGAUCUGCCCUGUACUUCGGGAUAAGCUUGGGAAACUGGGUCUAAUACCGGAUAGGACCAUGGUUUAGUGUCUCAUGGUGGAAAGAUUAUUGUUUUGGUGCAGGAUGAGCUCGCGGCCUAUCAGCUUGUUGGUGGGGUAAUGGCCUACCAAGGCGUCGACGGGUAGCCGGCCUGAGAGGGUGGACGGCCACAUUGGGACUGAGAUACGGCCCAGACUCCUACGGGAGGCAGCAGUGGGGAAUAUUGCACAAUGGGCGCAAGCCUGAGGCAGCGACGCCGCGUGGGGGAUGACGGCCUUCGGGUUGUAAACUCCUUUCGUUAGGGACGAAGCCGCACUUUUUUUGGGUGUGGUGACGGUACCUUUGUGAAGAAGCACCGGCUAACUACGUG